ensembl:miRNA aca-mir-5406 aca-mir-5406
ACAGUUCUUCCUUUUAGACUGGCACUCCUAGAAUCUCUCCGAACAUCUAGGAGCGAAACUCUAAAAGAAGAACCUC